rnacentral:rRNA from 1 species
UACGUAGGGGGCAAGCGUUGUCCGGAUUCAUUGGGCGUAAAGAGCGUGUAGGCGGCCAGGUAGGUCGGUUGUGAAAACUGGAGGCUCAACCUUCAGAGGUCGACCGAAACCAUCUGGCUAGAGUCCGGGAGAGGAGAGUGGAAUUCCUGGUGUAGCGGUGAAAUGUGUAGAGAUCCGGAGGAACACCAGUGGCGCAAGCGGCGCUCUGGGUCCGUACUGACGCUGAAGUACGAAAGCGUGGGGAGCGAACGGG